CAGUCGCCGCGGUAAUACAGAGGGUGCGAGCGUUAUUCGGAUUUACUGGGCGUAAAGCGUGCGUAGGCGGCUUUUUAAGUCGGAUGUGAAAUCCCUGAGCUUAACUUAGGAAUUGCAUUCGAUACUGGGAAGCUAGAGUAUGGGAGAGGAUGGUAGAAUUCCAGGUGUAGCGGUGAAAUGCGUAGAGAUCUGGAGGAAUACCGAUGGCGAAGGCAGCCAUCUGGCCUAAUACUGACGCUGAGGUACGAAAGCAUGGGGAGCAAACAGGAUUAGAUACCCCUGUAGUCCCUGUCUCUUAUAC
rnacentral:rRNA from 1 species